AUGCUUCUCCUAAAGACUAAGCCAUGCAUGUCUUCGUAUACGAGGAAGCAAUUCUCUCUGAAUCUGCGAACGGCUCCGCAAACCAGUUGUAAACAAAGGCAAGGGUGCCCCGAACCUUCGGGCGAGGGGCGAUACGGAUAACCCUGGUAAUUCUGAGGCUAAUACGAGAGCGUGAAACCUGGACGACCGGGAAACUGGAAGGCUGGGGGACGUGUGAUCCAAAAAGCAGUAGGGAAAGCCGGGGGAGGAUGCAUGUUCAUACCACCAUAACGAACGGUGCUUGUUGGAACCGAAAGGGAAAGGCGGGCUUCCGGGUGGGUCUUGCAAUGUGCUUCUGACCUAUCAACUAGAUGGCAGCAUAAGGGACAUGCCAUGGUUACAACGGGUACAGAGGAUAAGGGUUCGAUCCUGGAGAGUGGGCCUGAGAGAUUGCUCAUACUUCUAAGGAAGGCAGCAGGCGCGCAACGUUCCCAUUGGGCAAAGCCCGAGGGCGUUAGGGGACAUAUGAAUGCCUGCCAAUAGGUGGGCAAUUCAAAUGGGACUGUUCUAAACAGCCUA
rnacentral:rRNA from 2 species